rnacentral:tRNA from 1 species
UCCCUGGUAGUAUAUCGGUUAGUACACGCGCCUGUCAUGAUGCGGCGCGCGCGAAAGCGGGGUUCGACUCCCCGCCAGGGAG